AUUGAAUAGUCGCGUAUAGCAAGGUCGAAAGACAGCGUACGAGGAAAGUCCGGGCCCCAUAGAGCAAAGAUGCAAGAUAACGUCUUGUGAGGGUAACCUUAAGGAAAGUGCAACAGAAAAUAACCGCUAUUAUAUAAACUUUAAGUUUUAAAAUAGUAAGGAUGAAAAGGCGAGGUAAGAGCUCACCGCUUCUAUGGUGACAUAGAAGGUCAGUGCAAACCCCAUCUGGAGCAACACCGGGACAAGAAGGCUAAGACUGCUCGUCAUCUUCUUAAUCUGGUGGCUUUGAGCUACAUAGUGAUAUGUAGAGUAGAUAAAUGACUAUUCACGACAGAACCCGGCUUACAGAUUUACUUA
rnacentral:RNase_P_RNA from 1 species